UACGUAGGGUGCAAGCGUUGUCCGGAAUUACUGGGCGUAAAGGGCUCGUAGGCGGCCAACUAAGUCGGAUGUGAAAUCCCCAGGCUUAACCUGGGAACUGCAUCCGAUACUGGAUGGCUUGAAUCCGGGAGAGGGAUGCGGAAUUCCAGGUGUAGCGGUGAAAUGCGUAGAUAUCUGGAGGAACACCGGUGGCGAAGGCGGCAUCCUGGACCGGCAUUGACGCUGAGGAGCGAAAGCCAGGGGAGCAAACGGG
rnacentral:rRNA from 1 species